rnacentral:rRNA from 1 species
AAUAGAUACCCGGGUAGUCCACGCCGUAAACGAUGAGUGCUAAGUGUUAGGGGGUUUCCGCCCCUUAGUGCUGCAGCUAACGCAUUAAGCACUCCGCCUGGGGAGUACGGUCGCAAGACUGAAACUCAAAGGAAUUGACGGGGGCCCGCACAAGCGGUGGAGCAUGUGGUUUAAUUCGAAGCAACGCGAAGAACCUUACCAGGUCUUGACAUCCCACUGACCGCUAUGGGGACAUAGCUUUCCCUUCGGGGACAGUGGUGACAGGUGGUGCAUGGUUGUCGUCAGCUCGUGUCGUGAGAUGUUGGGUUAAGUCCCGCAACGAGCGCAACCCUUGAUCUUAGUUGCCAUCAUUUAGUUGGGCACUCUAAGGUGACUGCCGGUGACAAACCGGAGGAAGGUGGGGAUGACGUCAAAUCAUCAUGCCCCUUAUGACCUGGGCUACACACGUGCUACAAUGGACGGUACAAACGGUUGCCAACCCGCGAGGGGGAGCUAAUCCGAUAAAACCGUUCUCAGUUCGGAUUGUAGGCUGCAACUCGCCUAC